GCAGAAAAUAGUGUGUGUGAAAGGAGUGAUGUGGCUUUACGGGCAGAGCAGCAGCAGCGACAGAAAUAAUCAUGAAAAAGUUAAAUUUUGCUAGUUUUGUACAUAUUAGCUGUUUAGUUUUAGUGCUGAACGCCGCCGGAAGUGGCGCCCGGGAGUGCGGCGAUGCAGAAUGCAAGACUCCGAUUGCCAAUGCGUACGCCACGCUCGGUUACAAGGGCGGCGGCGAGGGGAAGGUUGAUCUUGUGCACGGCGAAAAGGUGGUGAUUCUGGCCCGGAACGUUGGCAAGGAGCGGCACUUUCUGGUCAGGAAGGCGAACGGUGCCGUCGGGUUGGCCAACAAGAGCUUCAUCCGGGACACGAACAUACUGGUUAAGUCGAAAGACUUGAUUUUACUGCCGGACGAGGAGGCUGUUGGGGAGAAGAUUGAACCGUCCGGAACGGUUCAGCCGGACGUGGUUGAUGGGACGACGCUAAACGCGGCAGAGGUGGCCAAAGGAACGGCUGCUGAAGCACCGCCGGUGGAGACGAAACCGGCUCCGGUAGAGGAGAAAACUCCAGAACUGGGGGUGGUUCCGUCGGGUGGUGAGGCUAUCAAACAGGAACCGAUCGAAUCAAACAGUCUUCCAGAGGCGACGACCGUAGAAGCCGAUGUGGCAGCCGUUAAGGAGCCGGAAGUGGCGUUGAAAGACUCCCAGUCGGAUGCGGAAGAGGAGGCCGAGGAUGAGGAAGGAGAUGAAGAGAACUUUUUUUCGCUACUUUUCAAGGAUUCCGACCCUGCGGACGAAGAAGAAGAGGAUGACGAAGAGGGCGAAGAUGAGCAAGAAGUAGAGAAAGAAGUGCCAGAGACAAAACCUACGGAGCAACCCACUGAAGAAGUAGUUAAGGACAAAGUUCCAGAACCAGUUGCCCAAGUCGCGGAGCCCACUGAAGAAAUCAAAAAGCCAGAAGAGUUGGUAAAGGUUGACGAAGAGGUUCCAGUAGAGCAAACAUCAACCGAGGCACCACCAGCUCAGCUGGUCGACACUGCGACGACCCUCGUUCCAACCCUGGAAGAACCCGAAGUCCCAACUCCGAUCGCAGUUGAAGUCACCACAGCGACUCCCGUCGUUGACCAGCCAACUGCAGCGGAAGCCGACGUUCAGAACGAAACGGUCGAAAAGGUCGCCGAGGUUCCUCCGGCUCCAAUCGUCGACAUCAUCGUGGACGAUCCGCGCCAGGAGAUUCCCGUCACGGAGGAGCCCGAACUCCCGCUGGAGGUUCCCCCGGUGGUGGCGUCAAACGCCAACGUAAUCGAAGAGAAGCCGGAACCAGAUUCGGCACUGCCAAAGCCGCCCCACGGUUUGCUACGGGGAGGGUUGGGUAGUUUAUUGUCGCACAGUCAUCACCAUCAUCAUCACGGUCACCACCACCACCACGGGCAUCACGGUCAUGGGCACGAUCACUCGGGGCAUAGUCACGAUCACGGGUCGCACGAACACGAAGAGGUUCCGUUCAUUGCUGGACUGGGCUCGGUUGAUCCGAUUCCGCACAGAGAACCUCUGCAACAGCAGCAACCACAACAACAAGAACCGCAACAACCUCAGCAGCAGCAGCAGCAGCAAGACGAAGUCGUUCCGGAGAACGGAUUUUGUGAUUCGGUGUCGUGUCCGAACCCCGGACAAGCCUCCUCGCAGCAUCAACACGCCAAUGGCUUUCACCAUCCGAUGGUAAGUUUGCCGCAAGUUACGGAAGAUACGGUCAGUACGCCUGAGCCAAAGAUGGUUGAGGAAGUUGGCUCGGAUGAGGGCAUCGUAACGCCUAGUGAGGAGGAGGUGGACUACGCCGAGAUGUUCAUCGCGGAGCUGUUCAAGCUGAGCGAUUUGAUUAUGCUGCUGGCGAUUACCUCAUUCACGUUGAUCGUGUUUUCGCUGGGACAUUACCUGAUCAACAAGAACCGCAAGGAGAAGCCGCUUAUUUACAAGCUGAACAUGAUCGAGCGUGACCUGAUGGCGUCCCACAAAGAGAACGCCAUGUUGAAGGCCGAUUUGGCGGAAACGCGCCACAAGCUGACCAGCAUCGAAAACAACUCGUUCGGCUCGAACGACAUGGUCAUCGCGUUGCGCCAGGACCUGGACGACGCCGAGCAGACCAAGCUGGAGCUGCAGGAGCAGAUCGCCUCCCUGGAAAAGGAACUGGAAAAUGCCGCCGAAGCCGGGCUCGAACUGAACAAGAUGGUCGCCGAGCUGUUGAACCAAAGCGGCAGCGACUCGAUCGCCCUCACCGUCGACGAACUGCAGAAGCAGCUGAACGAACAGCAGCAAACGAUCCUCUCGAUGAACACGACCCUGGCCGACAAGAGUCGCGAAAACAGCGAGCUUCAAAUUACGCUCGCCAACCAGUCCGCCAAGUACGGCCAGGAAUUCGACGAACUGCAGCAAGCGUUCAACGACCUCAAGCUCGAAAAGAGCAACAUCGAAAUCGAACUGACGAACCUAAAGACCGGCCAAAGCUCCCAGCUUGAAUCCCUCCGCAAGGAAACCAGCACCGAAAUCGCCAAACUCAACAAGGAGGUCAAAUCCUUCCAAUCCAAGUGGGAAGACUCCAAAAAGGCGCAAAACUCCGCCGAAGCCAAGGUCGAAGCCCUCGAAGAGUGCAUCAAGGACAUCAAGCGGGGCAACACGAACGGAACCGUCGACGGGCUGAUCGAUUCCGCCGAACUCAAGGCGCAGCUUGCCGUACUUAAGAAGGAAAAGAACAACCUGCAGGAUCGCCUGCAGGGCGAAGUGGUCGCGCGCCAGCUCCUGGACGAUCACGUCAAGAUCAUCAACGACGAAAUCUCCAACCUCAAGAAAGAGUACAGCCAGGCGGAGAAGGACAAGCUGGAGGCGGAGACGCGACUGGAGGUGUUGUCCUCCUACUUCAAGGACAAGGAAACGCAACUGCAAAAGGAAUUGAGCAUCAAGGAAGCGAUGUGGAUGCAGCAGCAGGGUGAAACGACCAGCACCGUCGAGCGGAUACGGUUCCUGCAGGACGAGGUGCAGCAGUUGAAAUCGCAAAACGAGAAGCUGCGCGCCGAAAUCCAAACCCUGGACACGGCCCACAAGGCGCAGUACACGAAGCUGGAGACACAGUCGCACGACGCCUGGCUGGCGGCCCGCCAGGCCGAGCGCCGCCUCGAGGAGUCCCGCAACGAGGCCAGCACGCUACGCCGGAAGCUGACCGUGCUCGUUGACGGUGGCGUUGGCACGACUGACGGCCUAAUCCCGGGACCGGUUCCCCCGCCGGCAGAUCUGAGCAUGACCGCUCCGUCCCCGAUCCGGGUCGAAUCGCCGAACGCGCCUCCUCCUCCGCUGAUGGGUCUUCCGCCGCCACCGUUUUUGCCACCGCCGUUCGGGGCACCGUUCAUGCCACCCUUUAUGCCGCCACCGGGUCCCGGCGAGAUGCGUCCGGCGCCGCUGGGUAGGCUCAUGUCCCCGCCGCCGAACCGGUACAGCCCCAGCAUGGAUCGCGACCGGGACCGAGACCACCGGUACAGUCCGGAUCGCGACCGCGGCCGGUACUCGCCGGACAGUCGGUACGACUACUCUGUGAUGUCCAACUACGAAACGGAGACGGACUUUAGCCCGCCGCGGUCACCUUCGCCGCACUCACACUCGCGACGGUCCAACUAUGACCACCGGGAUCGGGACCAUCGGAGGGACGGUCGCACCAGCGGCAGCGGUGGAGAUCGCAACGCUGGUUCCGGAGGAGGAGGAGGAGGUGGCGGCGGCUACCCGAAGGCGUUCUCCCCGCCCAGCAUGAGGACCACCUCGCCGCCCAUCCAGGACCCUAGGAAUAAAAAGUAUCAAGCAGCGGAAAAGCACUUUAAAGAACUGAAAAAUUACUGGAAAUCGUUGGAGGAGUAGUAAACUAACAACCAAUCAAAACUAACCUACAGUUUCUGUUUCGUCCUCGCCUUCAAAGCCGUUCUGUGGUUUCAGUUCCGGCUCACAAGACUCGGUCGCGACGCGGAAGAGUGGCAAACAGUAUAAACAGACGUAGAGAAGCUACUACUGAGUGUGGGUCCGUCAACCUCUAAGUUGUGGUGGAACCAACCAACCAAUCAUCCUAAACCUCUAGUGUAAAUGUUUUUUUUUUCUCUGUUUUCUCUGUACGAUAUAUAUAAACCAGUAAAAAAAACAAAACAAACAAUUUAAAUAGUGCAA